CAGCAGUUCCAAAUGUUCGUCUGUUAGCUAGCUGCCAUUUGCUGACUAGCCUACUCAGCAGGGGAGGGAGUGUUUUAAAGCAGUGGAGAUUUUGCAAGCAGCUCUUGGUGGGGAAGGGCAGGGUUUUGGUUUAACCGUGAUAUGAGUUAAAACAUUUUCUAAUGUCUAGUGCUAGCCUGUCAAUUCCACUGACAUUCUCAUUAGCUAGGUAUCUACUAGCUGACUAGCUGCUACUUUUCUCAAUGGAUUGUGUUUGCUAGCUCCAUGGACACUUCCAUCUAGCGCUAAGCUAACGCUGACUACUUUUCAAGAGUCAGUAGCUAGCUGUUAAGCUGGCUGGAAGCUGAAACGGAGGUCAUCGGCUGUAUUCCGGAUGUUACAGAGUAUAUCAUGAGUUUAGCAGGGUGGUGGGGGAAAAUCUGAGAGACUUCUUUGAUGCACUAGACCAUAUCUCUACAAAUUUAAUGGAGAUCUUCAAAGAAGAAAGGCCUCACUGGUCAGCUUUUGGCUGAACUUUUACGGCUAACAAAGACCUCUGAAACAACCGACAUCAGAUGCCUUUGCCUUCGGGGACUGCCAAUCAUUUUAGGAGAUGAUUCUUCUGCCUUCUUCAAGACGUACUCUGAUGCAGCUGACAAAGAGGCUUACAAUGAGACUCCGGUUGGGAUCAUCAUUAUCGGGGAGGAAAACUCACCACUGAACCCAUCCAGACUGGGGAUCGUCCUGGAAGGGAACGUGGUGUUUGAUGGACCGGCCAACCUUCCUCAGGCCUUCUGUGUCCUUUUUGGACUGACGUAUGCACUGCAUUUGGACUAUCUCAAAUACAUGAAGAACACUUUCCUCUUUGUCCAGCAAGUGAUGUUCAACUUGGGUAAAAGUCAGCUGCCACCCAAAAUUCAGACUCUGAAAAACCAGCUUGCAGAGUAAAUUGGGGUUAAGCUAC